AAGGUGCUGCAUGGUUGUCGUCAGCUCGUGCCGUGAGGUGUCGGGUUAAGUCCCAUAACGAGCGCAACCCCUAUCUUUAGUUGCCAUCAUUGAGUUGGGCACUCUAAAGAGACUGCCGGUGUCAAACCGGAGGAAGGUGGGGAUGACGUCAAGUCCUCAUGGCCUUUAUGACCAGGGCUACACACGUACUACAAUGGCCGGUACAAAGGGCAGCGACACAGCGAUGUGAAGCCAAUCCCGAAAAGCCGGUCUCAGUCCGGAUUGGAGUCUGCAACUCGACUCCAUGAAGUUGGAAUCGCUAGUAAUCGCGGAUCAGCACGCCGCGGUGAAUACGUUCCCGGGCCUU
rnacentral:rRNA from 1 species